UCCCUGGCAGUCCAGUGGUUAAGACUCUGCAUUUCCAAUGCAGGGGGCACAGGUUUGAUACCUGGUUGGGGAA
rfam:TPA: Bos taurus chromosome 27, whole genome shotgun sequence.